rnacentral:rRNA from 1 species
UACGUAGGUGACAAGCGUUGUCCGGAUUUACUGGGCGUAAAGAGCGCGCAGGCGGUCGAUCAAGUCGAGUGUGAAAGCCCCCGGCUCAACUGGGGAGGGUCAUUCGAUACUGAUCGACUCGAAGGCAGGAGAGGGUAGUGGAAUUCCCGGUGUAGUGGUGAAAUGCGUAGAUAUCGGGAGGAACGACCAGUGGCGAAGGCGAACUACCUGGCCUGUUCUUGACGCUGAGGCGCGAAAGCUAAGGGGAGCAAACGGGG